rnacentral:rRNA from 1 species
GAUGAACGCUGGCGGCGUGCCUAAUACAUGCAAGUCGAGCGAACAGACGAGGAGCUUGCUCCUCUGACGUUAGCGGCGGACGGGUGAGUAACACGUGGAUAACCUACCUAUAAGACUGGGAUAACUUCGGGAAACCGGAGCUAAUACCGGAUAAUAUAUUGAACCGCAUGGUUCAAUAGUGAAAGACGGUUUUGCUGUCACUUAUAGAUGGAUCCGCGCCGCAUUAGCUAGUUGGUAAGGUAACGGCUUACCAAGGCAACGAUGCGUAGCCGACCUGAGAGGGUGAUCGGCCACACGGGAAGUGAGACACGGUCCAGACGACUACGGGAGGCAGCAGUAGGGAAUCUUCCGCAAUGGGCGAAAGCCUGACGGAGCAACGCCGCGUGAGUGAUGAAGGUCUUCGGAUCGUAAAACUCUGUUAUUAGGGAAGAACAAAUGUGUAAGUAACUAUGCACGUCUUGACGGUACCUAAUCAGAAAGCCACGGCUAACUACGUG